rnacentral:rRNA from 1 species
UACGUAGGGGGCAAGCGUUGUCCGGAAUCAUUGGGCGUAAAGCGCGUGUAGGCGGUUCGGUAAGUCCGCUGUGAAAGUCCAGGGCUCAACCCUGGGAUGCCGGUGGAUACUGUCGGACUAGAGUACGGAAGAGGCGAGUGGAAUUCCCGGUGUAGCGGUGAAAUGCGCAGAUAUCGGGAGGAACACCAAUUGCGAAGGCAGCUUGCUGGGACGUUACUGACGCUAAGGCGCGAAAGCGUGGGGAGCGAACAGG